rnacentral:lncRNA from 1 species
GGGCUGAUUCCCAAGCGACACUCUGGUUUGGGACUUUGAGGAGAUGAUCAAGUAGAGCUGACUGGCGCCCAGCCUCGCUGCAGCCGUGUCACCAGGGGACAGGGGACAGGCAGGACGUGGCAGGCUCCAGCACAGGCUCUGCAGCAGCAGCUCCAGGCCAGGAUAACCGAGAGCAGCCCCCGUGGCACAGCACCGGGACAUGGACCCCCCGACAGGACAGGAGCCCAGCAAGGUCAUCGGGGUUGUCCUGGGCGUCGGGCUGGCCCUGCUGGUCCUGGCGAGUUUUGGCUACACCUUCAUCCGGUGGUACCGGCGGGGCCGCUGCCAGCGCCGUGAGUACGGCAGGGGACAGGGCAGGGGACAGAGCAGGGGAUGGGGGACAGGGCAGAGGAUAGGGGGACAGGGCAGGGAACAGAGGGAUAGGACAGGGGGACAGGGCAGUGGGCAGGGGACAGGGGGACAGAGGGACAGGGCAGGGGGGCUCAAAGCACAGGGCUGCAGAGACUGGGCUGUGGGCAACACGGGAGAGGGGAACUGCUGUUGCAGGGGCUCGGGGCCAAGCUGGGGGCACUCUGAGAUGAGGAGGGGGAUGCACAGCGAUGUCCUGCUGCCUGUCCUGCCUGUCUCCACCCUGCCACUCACGGCAAAGCAACCUAUGGCUCUGACACUCUCCCUCCUCUUCCUCCUGCCUCCCCAGGGCCUGACUUUGUCUUCAGCUUCUACCGCUCACGGUGAGUGACGCCACGGGGGGACCAGGGGCAGGCUGGCAGCUCCCUUUGUGCAGUGCCAGGGUGUCACAACCCCUCUGCUCACCCAGUUCUGCUGUUGGCAGGGGGCUGGCAGGGGCUGGAGGAGGACGGGCAGCUUGGUGACCUCUCUGCUUUCCCUGCAGCGGGCUGGGGUCGGUGGCACUGGAGCUGGUGCCACCAUUCAGCAUCAGUGGCUCUCUGGGCACCUCGGGCAGUGGCUACGAGCCCUUCCACAACCAGGAGCUGUGAGGUGAGAGCUGGGCUGCUGAGCAGGUAGGGAGGACAUCCCUUUGUCCCCCCCUGCCCCCCAGUGCUGUGCCCUAAAGCCUCCCUGCUGCCUUGUAGCCCCUGGGCAUCACAGCUUUCCUCAGGACAGUCCCAAGGUUUUCCCAGCAAAAGUCCUGCCUGUGGCUCUGGGGCUUCAGAGGCUUUCCCUGAACUCUGGUUUUGGUUUCUCCCCACACAGGCUUAGGUUUAUGUUUCCUUCCUGCUGUCCUUGGGAUGGGACGUGCGGUCAGGGACAGGGGGACGGGGCUGGAGCCUGGGUGCUCUUGCAGAGCUUCCUCUUACUCACAGCCUGGCACAAACAGAAAAAGCAACAAAAACUGCCCGGGGGGAAUCCCUCCAUUUUCAGUUCUAUAAGAAACAGCCCCUGAAUUUGUUGGAUUUCAACCGAAACAGCAGUGGUGCAGUUUCUGUUGCUAAAAAAGCUUCCCAGAAUUACGGAAUCUUGGGGCUGGAAGGGACCUCUGGAGACCAUCUGGUCCAACCCCCCAGCCCUGCACAAGGUUACCUGCAACAGGUGACACAGGAACGCACCCAGGUGGGUUUGGAAUGUCUCCAGAGAGGGAAACUCCACCAAUUCCCUGCGCACCUCCUCCAUCUGCAGUUCUCUCACCGGCCCUGUGCAGCCCCAGGUGCACAGGAGGUGCCUGAGCCAGCACUGCUGCAGCUUCCCCUUGCUGGGGAUGGAGGAAGAGGAUGCAGCCUUAUCCAGGAUUCCUCAGCACUGAUCCUGGAGAAAACAGCCACAUUCCCCAUGCCCCAGAGACCUCCCAGCCUCCUGCACACCCAGAGGCCUGGCACCGGGCUGCCCCUUAGGGAGCCAGCUGAGGAGGAGCCCCAGAACUGAGUGACUGGAUUUGUGCAGCUGCAGGAAACACCGUGAGGAAAUGGGAAAUCUCUCUCAGUCCUCCUCCUCCAUCCUGCACCAACAUGGAAGUUGGUUCUCCACACUCCCAGUGCAAGGAAACACCUCCGAAAGCCCCUGUGGAAGUUAUUCCUGUGGUUUUGUGCCAGUUGCCUUCGGUCUCAGCAGAACAAGUGGCUGUGGGAGUGCUUGGAGCACAGGAACAGCCAUGGGGAGAUUCUGUGGUCACACAGAGGGGCCCUGCUUGGCCAGAGGGGGCUGGUGAGGCACGGGGGCCCUUGGGACCAUUUCUUUGCCAGACUCUCUCAGAAGAAAAGCAAAGAAAAACUCAUGAGAGCCACGUGGCCGUGUGUAGGGAAACCAGUGAGGACAGAGUGGGAUUUCCAGACCAGCUGUGCUCUCGGCUAUCAAAGCUAAACCCUGUGGUCUGUGGCUUUCUCCUGGCUGAAAGGAGACCUGUGAGUGCUCAUGGAGAGGGGGAAAUGCCAGCUCCUGGGGGCUGGGAGCCCUCCGUGGUGAGCAGGAUCCAGCAGAGCCCUGCAUGAUGCAGGAUCCGCCCGUGGGGCCUGACGUCAGCGGCGUUUAAAAGAAAAACAACGAAAAAAAGCCGUGCUUUUAAUGACUCCGUUUUCCAGAGGAAGUUGAAAAAAAUAAAAAAUAAACCAGAUCUAACCCCCA